rnacentral:snoRNA from 1 species
AAGACUAUACUUUUAGGGAUCAUUUCUGUAGUUUUUUACUAGAGAAGUUUCUCUGAAAGUGUAGAGCAAAAAAAAAAGGGUU